AUUGAACGCUGGCGGCAGGCCUAACACAUGCAAGUCGAGCGGAAGAAGGGAGCUUGCCCCUGGAUUCAGCGGCGGAAGGGUGAGUAAUGCCUAGGAAUCUGCCUGGCAGUGGGGGAUAACGUCCGGAAACGGGUGCUAAUACCGCCUACGUCCUGAGGGAGAAAGUGGGGGAUGUUGGGACCUCACGCUAUCAGAUGAGCCUAGGUCGGAUUCGCUAGUUGGUGGGGUAAAGGCCUACCAAGGCGACGAUCCGUAACUGGUCUGAGAGGGUGAUCAGUCACACUGGAACUGAGACACGGUCCUGACUCCUACGGGAGGCAGCAGUGGGGAAUAUUGGACGAUGGGCGGAAGCCUGAUCCAGCCGUGCCGCGUGUGUGAAGAAGGUCUUCGGAUUGUAAAGCACUUUAAGUUGGGAGGAAGGGCAGUGAGUUAAUACCUUGCUGUUUUGACGUUACCAACAGAAUAAGCACCGGCUAACUUCGUG
rnacentral:rRNA from 1 species